rnacentral:rRNA from 1 species
AGGUAACGGCUCACCAAGGCGUCGACGGGUAGCCGGCCUGAGAGGGUGACCGGCCACACUGGGACUGAGACACGGCCCAGACUCCUACGGGAGGCAGCAGUGGGGAAUAUUGCACAAUGGGCGCAAGCCUGAUGCAGCAACGCCGCGUGAGGGACGACGGCCUUCGGGUUGUAAACCUCUUUUAGCAGGGAAGAAGCGAAAGUGACGGUACCUGCAGAAAAAGCACCGGCUAACUACGUGCCAGCAGCCGCGGUAAUACGUAGGGUGCAAGCGUUAUCCGGAAUUAUUGGGCGUAAAGAGCUCGUAGGCGGUUUGUCGCGUCUGCUGUGAAAACUGGAGGCUCAACCUCCAGCCUGCAGUGGGUACGGGCAGACUAGAGUGCGGUAGGGGAGAUUGGAAUUCCUGGUGUAGCGGUGGAAUGCGCAGAUAUCAGGAGGAACACCGAUGGCGAAGGCAGAUCUCUGGGCCGUAACUGACGCUGAGGAGCGAAAGGGUGGGGAGCAAACAGGCUUAGAUACCCUGGUAGUCCACCCCGUAAACGUUGGGAACUAGUUGUGGGGUCCAUUCCACGGAUUCCGUGACGCAGCUAACGCAUUAAGUUCCCCGCCUGGAGGAGUACGGCCGCAAGGCUAAAACUCAAAGGAAUUGACGGGGACCCGCACAAGCGGCGGAGCAUGCGGAUUAAUUCGAUGCAACGCGAAGAACCUUACCAAGGCUUGACAUAUACGAGAACGGGCCAGAAAUGGUCAACUCUUUGGACACUCGUAAACAGGUGGUGCAUGGUUGUCGUCAGCUCGUGUCGUGAGAUGUUGGGUUAAGUCCCGCAACGAGCGCAACCCUCGUUCUAUGUUGCCAGCACGUAAUGGUGGGAACUCAUGGAAUACUGCCGGGGUCAACUCGGAGGAAGGUGGGGAUGACGUCAAAUCAUCAUGCCCCUUAUGUCUUGGGCUUCACGCAUGCUACAAUGGCCGGUACAAAGGGCUGCAAUACCGUAAGGUGGAGCGAAUCCCAAAAAGCCGGUCCCAGUUCGGAUUGAGGUCUGCAACUCGACCUCAUGAAGUCGGAGUCGCUAGUAAUCGCAGAUCAGCAACGCUGCGGUGAAUACGUUCCCGGGUCUUGUACACACCGCCCGUCAAGUCAUGAAAGUCGGUAACACCUGAAGCC